CCACCCUGUGCUGGAGACUGCAGAGACAUCCUUGGCUUCACCCCAGGAAGGUCAGGAGAUGUGAAGCCCGUGAGCCCUUCCAGGCAGAUAACAGAGGAGAAAAACCAGAAAGUGCCGAUUUCCAGGAAGGUGGAAGGAACGUGCCUGGAGAAGAAGAGGAGAACUAACCACCUCCCUGUUUAAGUGUUUCCGUCUCAGAUGUGUUGACAAAACAUCCAUGCACUGAUGAAAGGUUACUUAGAGACCUCAGAUUCUACUGGAAGACAGAUUAGAACAUCAAUGUGUGACAA